CCGGAUGAGUUUAGUAGUAGUAGUAGUAGUUGAUACUAGUUUUUUAGCCACUGUGUAAAUUUUUUUCUCGCGGA